GACGAACGCUGGCGGCGGGCUUAACACAUGCAAGUCGAACGGAAAGGCCCUGCUUGUUUGGGGUUCUCGAGUGGCGAACGGGUGAGUAACACGUGAGUAACCUGCCCUUGACUUUGGGAUAACUUCAGGAAACUGGGGCUAAUACCGGAUAGGAGCUCCCGCUGCAUGGUGGGGGUUGGAAAGUUUCGGCGGUUGGGGAUGGACUCGCGGCUGAUCAGCUUGUUGGUGGGGUAGUGGCUGACCAAGGCUUUGACGGGUAGCCGGCCUGAGAGGGUGAACGGCCACCAUGGGACUGAGAUACGGACCAGACUGCUACGGGAGGCAGCAGUGGGGAAUAUUGCACAAUGGGAGGAAGUCUGAUGCAGCAACGCCGCGUGCGGGAUGACGGCCUUCGGGUUGUAAACAGCUUUCGCCUGUGACGAAGCGUGAGUGACGGUAAUGGGUAAAGAAGCACCGGCUAACUACGUG
rnacentral:rRNA from 1 species